rnacentral:rRNA from 1 species
AUUGAACGCUGGCGGCAUGCCUUACACAUGCAAGUCGAACGGUAACAGGCCGCAAGGUGCCGACGAGUGGCGAACGGGUGAGUAAUGUAUCGGAACGUGCCCAGUCGUGGGGGAUAACUGCUCGAAAGAGCAGCUAAUACCGCAUACGACCUGAGGGUGAAAGCGGGGGACCGUAAGGCCUCGCGCGAUUGGAGCGGCCGAUAUCAGAUUAGGGUAGUUGGUGAGGUAAAGGCUCACCAAGCCGACGAUCUGUAGCUGGUCUGAGAGGACGACCAGCCACACUGGGACUGAGACACGGCCCAGACUCCUACGGGAGGCAGCAGUGGGGAAUUUUGGACAAUGGACGCAAGUCUGAUCCAGCCAUGCCGCGUGCGGGAAGAAGGCCUUCGGGUUGUAA